UUGUCUUUUAAAUGAAGACCUGUAUGAAUGGCAUAACGAGGGCUUAACUGUCUCCUUUUUCCAGUCAAUGAAAUUGAUCUUCCCGUGCAGAAGCGGGAAUACCUACAUAAGACGAGAAGACCCUAUGGAGCUUUAGACACCAAAAUAGAUCAUGCCAAAUGUUCCUAAUAAAAGGACAAAACUAAUUGACCCCUAUUUCAAUGUCUUUGGUUGGGGCGACCGCGGGGAAACAAAAAACCCCCACGUGGACCGAGAGUACAUUACUCCCACAACCCAGAGUUACAACUCAAAGUAACAGAACUUCUGACCAACAAGAUCCGGCACUAGCCGAUCAACGGACCGAGUUACCCCAGGGAUAACAGCGCAAUCCUCUUUUAGAGGCCCUAUCGACAAGGGGGUUUACGACCUCGAUGUUGGAUCAGGACAUCCUAAU
rnacentral:rRNA from 1 species